UCCUCUAACUGCAGAUUAGAUGUUAUGAAAACGGGACGCUUGCCCUGCCCUAAUUUACCAAAUGCUAUGCUUGUGUUUUGUGUGCUGUUUCCCUGAGGCUUCAGUCUGAUAAAAACGUUUUGUGUGAAAACAGGGCUAGCAGCACAUUCAUUCCAGAGGUCACUCAGCCCGGGAAGGCGUUGUGGAGAGGAUGCCUGUCUGGCAAUUAUUAGUAGAAGCAACCUGUUUUCCUGAAAAGUUUAAACUUCAUUGGAAAGCUGUACUGCCACUUCCUUUUCCAGAAAUCAGUGGCAGUAACUUCAAUAACCAAACCCAGAAAACAUUAAAGUUAUUUUUUUAAAGCUGUUUGCUUAGGUUUUAAACAAAGCAUGGGAAAGUCAUGUGACAAAUAUUGUGAAAUUAAGUUCCCUUGGUGCUUUAGAGUAAAUUUACUCUUCUGUGAUUUGA